CCUACGGGAGGCAGCAGUGGGGAAUAUUGCACAAUGGGGGAAACCCUGAUGCAGCGACGCCGCGUGAGUGAAGAAGUAUUUCGGUAUGUAAAGCUCUGUCAGCAGGGAAGAAAAUGACGGUACCUGACCAAGAAGCCCCGGCUAACUACGUGCCAGCAGCCGCGGUAAUACGUAGGGGGCAAGCGUUAUCCGGAUUUACUGGGUGUAAAGGGAGCGUAGACGGCGAUGCAAGUCUGAAGUGAAAGGCGGGGGCCCAACCCCUGGACUGCUUUGGAAACUGUAUGGCUGGAGUGCAGGAGAGGUAAGUGGAAUGCCUAGUGUAGCGGUGAAAUGCGUAGAUAUUAGGAGGAACACCAGUGGCGAAGGCGGUUUACUGGACUGUAACUGACGUUGAGGCUCGAAAGCGUGGGGAGCAAACAGGAUUAGAUACCCCUGUAGUC
rnacentral:rRNA from 1 species